GGCUGCAGUUUUGCAGAAAGGCGAAGCAGUGUUAGUGAUAGCCAAGUAUGCGACAAUUACACGAAGGAAGAUUACACCAGCAAGGGGACUCAGGCUGUGAAAUUGAACUGUCUCCUACUAUGAGGUCUUGUAUAUACUUAGCGCCGUUACUUCAGUGCUCAAGUCUUCGAGGUCAAACGAAGUUUCUUGAAGUGCAAGAAAUAUAUAUAUAUAUAUGUAUCGUAAGGAACCGCUUUAUUCCAGCCAAGCUCGGACUACUACCUCGAGGAUUAAACUGUGCUGCUAGUGAUGAUAUAUGCAGAUGAAAAAGAUGUGCAGAUGAUGAAGUUGAAAGUCAGGCAUGUGUUGUGCCCAUGCUAAUUCUCUCUCGCUGUGGAAGCGGCCGCCUGGCUGCGCGAAGCCAUCAUCUGGUGCUGUGUACAGCAAGCACAUGCUUCGGGCAAGGAGGGAGCCAGCACCAUAUCUACAUCAGCAAGAACCUCGGUGCUCAAAAUAAACAUUUUCUGUGCAAA
rnacentral:lncRNA from 1 species